rnacentral:tRNA from 1 species
CCACUCAUGGUGUAGUGGUAACGCGCCCCAACUAGAGAUCGGGGAUUCGUGAGUUCGACUCUCACUGAGAAGA